AUUGAACGCUGGCGGCAGGCUUAACACAUGCAAGUCGAGCGGGGAAGGGUAGCUUGCUACUGACCUAGCGGCGGACGGGUGAGUAAUGCUUAGGAAUCUGCCUAUUAGUGGGGGACAACAUUCCGAAAGGAAUGCUAAUACCGCAUACGCCCUACGGGGGAAAGCAGGGGAUCUUCGGACCUUGCGCUAAUAGAUGAGCCUAAGUCAGAUUAGCUAGUUGGUGGGGUAAAGGCCUACCAAGGCGACGAUCUGUAGCGGGUCUGAGAGGAUGAUCCGCCACACUGGGACUGAGACACGGCCCAGACUCCUACGGGAGGCAGUAGUGGGGAAUAUUGGACAAUGGGCGCAAGCCUGAUCCAGCCAUGCCGCGUGUGUGAAGAAGGCCUUUUGGUUGCAAAGCACUUUAAGCGAGGAGGAGGCUACUUGGAUUAAUACUCUAGGAUAGUGGACGUUACUCGCAGAAUAAGCACCGGCUAACUCUGUGCCAGCAGCCGCGGUAAUACAGAGGGUGCGAGCGUUAAUCGGAUUUACUGGGCGUAAAGCGUGCGUAGGCGGCUUUUUAAGUCGGAUGUGAAAUCCCUGAGCUUAGCUUAGGAAUUGCAUUCGAUACUGGGAAGCUAGAGUAUGGGAGAGGAUGGUAGAAUUCCAGGUGUAGCGGUGAAAUGCGUAGAGAUCUGGAGGAAUACCGAUGGCGAAGGCAGCCAUCUGGCCUAAUACUGACGCUGAGGUACGAAAGCAUGGGGAGCAAACAGG
rnacentral:rRNA from 1 species